GCGGCGCCACUGAUGAUGUAUUCGAGGAGAACAUUCCAGCCGAUGAGGAAGGCCCACAGCUCGCCCAUGGAUACGUAGGUGAACAGCUGAGACUCUAGGGAUGGAAGUGGAGUUUCGCCACCCCUACACUUUCUGGUGACACGGAUGGGAUCCUCUCAAGCCUAAAGAUGGGAUCCUGGGAGAACAAAUAAAAGCAGGCACAGGAACAAAAGAUAUCUGUGUCUCUCAAGAAACAUGUCCUGGGCUGGCCAUGGUGGCUCAUACCUGUAAUCCCAGCACUUUGGGAGGCUGAGAGAGGAGGAUCGAUUGAGCCCAGGAGUUUGGGAGCAGCCUGGGCAACAUAGUGAGACCCCCUAUCUACAUAACAUAAUACAAUUCUCUGGGUGUGGU